AAGUCGUAACAAGGUUUCCGUAGGUGAACCUGCGGAAGGAUCAUUAUUGAAUAAACUUGAAAUAAAUUGUUGCUGGCUUUGUUAAAGCAUGUGCACAUUUGUUUCAUUUUUUAAAAUCUCUUGUGCACUUGUGUAAAUCUGAAUAUCUUGAAAGGAGUUUUUUCUACUUCCUUCAGUUUGAGAAUUGUCAUGCUAUUAAGUUGGGCUUUUCUUGUUUCAGAUUUAUGUUUUGAUACACACCUCUGAAAUAUAUUAGAAUGUUUGUUAUAUUGGCUUUUAUUAUGCCUUUAAAAUAUAUAUACAACUUUCAACAACGGAUCUCUUGGCUCUC
rnacentral:misc_RNA from 1 species